CCUACGGGAGACUGCAGUGAGGAAUAUUGGUCAAUGGACGCAAGUCUGAACCAGCCAUGCCGCGUGCAGGAAGACGGCUCUAUGAGUUGUAAACUGCUUUUGUACGAGGGUAAACGCAGAUACGCGUAUCUGUCUGAAAGUAUCGUACGAAUAAGGAUCGGCUAACUCCGUGCCAGCAGCCGCGGUAAUACGGAGGAUUCAAGCGUUAUCCGGAUUUAUUGGGUUUAAAGGGUGCGUAGGCGGUCGGAUAAGUUAGAGGUGAAAUCCCGAGGCUCAACUUCGGAAGUGCCUCUGAUACUGUUCGUCUAGAGAGUAGUUGCGGUAGGCGGAAUGUAUGGGGUAGCGGUGAAAUGCAUAGAUAGCACGCAGAACCCCGAUUGCGAAGGCAGCAUGCCGGCUUCCGACUGACGCUGAAGCACGAAAGCGUGGGGAUCGAACAGGAUUAGAUACCCGGGUAGUC
rnacentral:rRNA from 1 species